AGUUAUCGUUGGGGUAUAGUAAGUGUACUGACUUUAUUUUAUGUUAUUGUUUUGUUUGUGUUUAUUUCAUAUAGUGUGCGAUACAUAUACGUGAGCGCUCUGUUGAUAAUCACGUGAUGUUUGCUGACGAGAAUUCCGUUUUUUUUAGAAACCGUCAAACUCUUAUCAGAAAUUGUAGACGAAUGGUUUUGUCUUAAAUUUAUUAGGAAAACAACGGUUUUUUCAACAGAAUUUGAUGAAAAAUACAUUGUAAGAACAUCGAAUAUGCAGCAUAUCGGUGAAUAUAGCAACAGUUUGAUAUUUUUAAAAAUCUGACACCAUGAUGUGCGGGUUAGUCGCUUUAUUGUAACUUAUAUUGUGCUAUAUCUUUUGUAAAAUACUUAAAUUUAUAAUGUGACAUUGAAUAAUUCACAAGUUUGCAAUACUGUGUAUUGGGUAAUGUUCGUGGAGGUUUUACUUUCGCUAAAACUCGCCAAUAAUGCCGCUUGCAAUUUUUGUUAUUCUGCAUCAUUUCCUUAAACACAAACCCUCCUGCUUCGCGAAUUCCUAACACCGCGAAUAAGACAUCUAAUUGCUAACUAAUCCAUUAGCGAAAAAUCAUACAAUUUACUGUAUAUCUUAAAUAAAGAAGGUGAUACAAGCAAUGAUUGAUUUGAAUGCAGCCGCUUUAUUGAUAAUGUCAUUAAUUUCUAAAUGAAACAGCUAACAAUAAAAUUCAUCCAGCGAUUUCUGUUUGUCCGCCGAGCCUGUAUUUAAUAAAUUGUAAACAUUCAGUUCAUUCGUUAUUUGAGAUAUACCUUUUAUACAUGACAUCUCUCUCUCUCUCUCUCUCUCUCUCUCUCCUCUCUCUACAAAACAGCAAAAUUUAUAUACUAACAGUUUCAAACAAAUAGUGAGAAGCGAUUUGUUUAAAAUUUGAUCAAUUAUGGCUAUUCCUAUUAAUGAAUGAUACAAAAGCGUGGCAUUUACGUAUAUCAUAAACCAUACACCUCAGAGUUGCUUGCCCUAUCAUACACCUCGUUUUAAUUUUGCAAGCUUUCAUAUUUUUUUUUCAAUUAUUAUGUUCUGAAUUUAAAACUUUCAGCGUUAAAGUUGUCACGUUUUAGGGCUUGGUUCACAAUUUGGGAAGAAAACUUGCAAGCUGUACGAUAGCCCGCUAGGUACAGCAUCCAAACGCUAUUCCUAGGCCUCUGGUUCGAAUUUUGGUCUUGCAGCGUAUUUGUAUCACGCUAUGGCAUAAUAAAUUGAAAUGAGACUUUUGUAAAAAUACUUUGUUAUAGAUCAUUCCAUUAACAAGAGAAAGAAAAGGCAAAUUAAGUAGCAUGUCUGCAAAUUCUGCUCCGACUUGUAUAUUUUAAACGCAUGUACAUGAACAAUUUACAAAUACACUUUGAUACCUAUUUAGGAUAUUUGACUAAUAAGCAAUUUUUAUUAUAACUUAGUUUGCUUCACAUAUAAAAUUUCGCACAGUAUCACAAUUUCGGCCGUUCGAAAGAGCAUUGGGCCCAUUGUAUCUAAUUUCUAUGCCAUGUUCAAAAGUUCAUGAAAACAGUUAUGUUCUAGUUACAAAAGAUAUAAUAAAGCAUCAAGUAAAACCUGACUUAAACGGCACCUAAUUUUAGUGGAAUUCUGCCUUUUCUGGCAGUGUCCAUCGGUCCAGGCACAAUCGCUAUAUGUUAUAUAUAAACAAAACCUGAUUUUACCGGAACCUGGCUUACCUAUAUCCUACAAAGCUUAGACAUCCCAAGAUGUAUGAAUGCACUAAUUUCACACUUUUUAACCGAUUUGCGGCCCGAUGUUCAUCGAUGUGGUCUUUGAGAAUCCUAUGAUUUCUCAAAUCGUUGCAUAUUUAUGCGCGGAAAACCGGAAAAACACAAAAUAUAUGUAUGAUUAUGACUGCUAGUGUGUACAUAUCCGACGCAAUUUGGUACUAAACUAUAGAUGAAUACCAAAUGCAUUCUUAGUGGCGACUAACAAAAUUCGGCAAAGUUUUGGUAGUCGCUACCAAAAUGCGCUGCUAUAUCUCACCUCGAGAAGGCAUUAUUGGCAGAGGCAAACAUAUGGUGAGGAAUGACAACACUGUGAAAAAGAAGUAUUGGCUUUUAACAAUGGAAAUAAUUAGUAAAUAAUAUAAUAUAAUGUUUUAACUAGUAAUUUGAUCUGAUGAACUUGAUGAUGAUGAUUAUGACAAUAACAAGUGUUAUUAUUGUUAUUGAUAUUAUUAUUAUUAUUACUAUUACUACUACUAUUAUUGCUAGUAUGACAACGAUGGUGAUGAUAUUGAUGAUGAUAAUAGUUUAUAGAAAUAAAGAAAUGAUGAUUAUGUUGAUGAUAAAAAUUGUUGUAACGAUGACGACGACGACGACGAAGGUGAUGAUGAUGAUAAUGAUGAUGGUGAUGGUGGUGGUGGUGGUGAAUGCAUGAGAUGAUAAUUAAUGUUGGUGAUGACGAGUUAUUGUGAGAGUAAAUGAUGAUGAACGGUGGUGAAGGUUUAAUAUGAAGAUCUCUGACGAUGAUGCUGAUGAUGAUGAUUAUUAUUAUUAUUAUUCGUUAAAUGAUGAUGAUCGCCUGGCAUAUCGACUUUUGGCUAAAACAGAAUGUUCAAUGCCAGUAAGAUUAGUAAUAUUGUAUUGCAAUAUAAUAACGUUAAACUUUAUCAAGUUAUUUUGUAUAGUUUGACUGAUACAGUUAGUGCGAUCGGAAGUAAAGAUACUAAAUAACGAAACUUUUUUAAAGAUAUGCAAGUGCGGAAGUAGAAGUCACCAUAUAGGAUGCUGAGCAAGAGAAACCGGAAAUAUAUUAUUGUUAAAUGUCACUAAACAUAUGUUAUAAAUUCAGAUAUCUCUGCAAUGUACAUAUUUGUGUUAUAUAUUUGUGACAUUUUUGUUAAAAUUUAAACUACGAUCAAGGUACUGAAAACGCUUUAAAGUAGGAAUAAAUGUUCUUUCAUACAUAAAAUAUCGGAAAUUGGAAAAUAAAUUGUGUCUAAAACUGUUCAGUCAACUUGGCUUUGCUUGUGCUAUUUGGAAAAAAAAAUUAAAAAAAGAUAUUUCGCUGAAUUUCAAUUCAUGUAAAAUGCAUACCCCGCGUGUAAGUAAAUAUGUUGUUUAUACUUGUGCUUUUCUGAUGUUGUUCAUUUCAUCGCAACUUAGGCUUGCUCUGUCAUAUAAUAUUGAAGUGAAAAAAGUUGGAAUAUCUCGAGGUGAGGAGAAUUCACAGUACGGAUAUACUGUCGCAAUAAUACGAAAGCCAGGAUGGAAUGACUUUUCCAACUUCUACAAAAAGGAACUUCUAGUUGGUGCCCCAAAUAUAACGUUCGACAGCAUUAAAAGCCAUGGUCAGGUGUUUAGAUGUACCAUCCCUACAGAUAAGAACAUAACAUGCGAAUCACUUCAACUGACUGAUGAAAGUAACCUAUGUGAUAGGGUGUCAAAGGACACCGACAGUAAAUGCGCUACUGACAGCAGACUCGGUGCAACAAUGGAAGUCAACAGAAACUUUCCAGAUAUUAGAAGAGACACAACAAUACCAACAAUGCCCAUGGUCACAAUAUGUGCACCUGGCUGGAGAAAUGUUUUCCCCGAGACUAGCGAUAGCAAAUAUCAGAAUUAUAUGACUGGGAUGUGUCUUAAGAUGCGAGAUGAUUUACGACCAAUUUACUGUGCCAAGCGAAGUUACUGUUGGCCGUUCUGGCCAAACAGAGACACAACAAAUGAAAAGGGGAGACCAGUUUUUACAUACGCUGAAGGUGGAAUGUCUGCAGCAUUCACAAGGGACGGACGAAGCGAAGUUAUUGCUGCCCCGGGUGCUGACGACUGGCGAGGUGCGUAUAAGGAUAUUCAGAAAGAUUUGCUGUAUCGGAUGGAUAGGGAAAGGACUACUAAUACACUUUAUUUUGGAUAUGCUAUAGUGACUGGAAAAUUUGGAAGUGCACCAGAACUGAUUGUGUCUGGGUCUCCAAACUGGAACGAACCGGAUUAUGCCGGACAUUAUGGAAAGGUUGAGGCAUUCAUUGGAACAACCAAAGCAGAAGCACUAGAAUUCGGCGUUCCAAAGAAGACUUGCCCAGAUCAGCAAUCAUCCGAUCUAAGAUGGUACAUAGACAGCAUAGACGACAAACAAACAGGUUCAAAAUUUGGAGCAGUGUUAGGCGCAGUGGAUCUUUCAGGUGACGGAUACGACGAACUACUUGUCGGUGCACCACUGUACACUGGCAACAAUCCAGAGGAAGGUCGCGUCUUUGUCUAUAGUUCCUCAAAAGAUGGAAUUUGCGGCCCAAUAGGGAUACUUUCUGGAGGGGCGAUUGUUGCUUCUAUGAAAGAUAAAGUCUCUUUUGCUCGCUUCGGUUCAGCUAUAUCGUCAGCCGGAGACCUUGACCACGACUCUUAUAAUGAUGUAGCGAUAGGGGCUCCGUAUGAAGAUGACGGUACAGGAGCUAUAUAUAUCUACCCGGGAGUCGGAAAGUGUGGCUGCAAAAUGGAAGAUAAAUUCUCCCAACGGAUUUCAGGCAGUGAUCUUGACGUGGGUAUUCGAACAUUUGGUUGGAGUAUCUAUGGAGAUGAGGACAUUGAUGACAACAGCUUUCCUGAUGUUGCUGUUGGAGCUUACGAAUCAAAUACAGCUUUCGUGUUGAGGGCAAGACCUAUUGUGAACGUUCAUAUAGAAAUGAAGAUGACACCGAAUCCGAUACCGUUAAAUGGUUCCUUGAUAGACUGCUCAAUAGAUAAAGAGACGCUUUGUUUUAACGUCCAGGUUUUGUUCCAGUUUAAUGCUGUAGGGACUAGAAAUGGCAAUGUCAGCGAAGUUAAGCUCAAAUGGACCCUUGAUUCUGAUACAGUACACAAAAGUAAGGAAGGUUGGAGCCGGGUAAAAUUUAGAGGUCCUGGUGGCACAGGGACGUUGACGGAAUAUAUUACACUUUCAAGCAGUAUGAAUCGAAAUUACCUUACAAAUUACGUCAUUGAUGUAAAAGGAUACAGGGGUAAACCAGAACCGAAAGAUGCAUGGACACAAGUUCGUAUGGAAGGAAGGUUUGAAUUGAUUCCAACAAAGCAAGAUAACUUUGCAGAAUUGGAUCCAAUCCUGAAAAAUGAUGCCAAGACGCACAUAGUUGAAAAUAUCGAGUUUGAUAAGAAAUGCGACAGUAUAACGACGUGCACAUCUGACCUAAAGAUUACGGUAGAGAUGUUUCUGACCAAGGAAGGAGUAGUACCUACUCAAGUUAAAGAGGACACAAACAUAUACAUCGAUGCUGCUAACAUUCUACAGGUGACGACAGAUACCACGAAUCUGUUUAACUCGUCAUACAGAGCCAACGUCAGUGGUGAAGUAACAGCUUUGAUGAAGCGAGACGCUUCCCCGAACAAUGGUUUGGUAGGUGCAAGCUGCAAGUACGAAUCCCCACACCAGACAAGCACAACGAUUUACUGUACGGCAGAUAGUAAACUUGAUAGAAAUGAAAAUAUGAAGAUCAAGAUGUAUUUUGACGUAUCCAGGCAACGGCUGAUUCCUGGUAUGGAUAUGAGCAAAAUGAAGGAGUACGUUCAUAUUGCUUUGGUAACCGACCAGGCAAACAAGGAUGUGAACAUGGACAACAAUAUGUUUGAGAGGAAGAUCCCAGUGAAGUUGAAAUUCCAAGUGAUUAUACAGGCAGAUAAAGAGACAUCUGAUCAAAUCAGAUACAAGGCCGACGAGAGGAGUACAAGAAAAAUAACCCUUAUUCACCGCUACUUCCUUAUAAAUGAGGGACCAAGCUUUAUGCCAAAGACGUUUGUUAAUAUCUCAAUACCGUUGUCCAAGAAUGAAGUAGACCUCGCAGUUAUCAAGGAAAUGUCGUCUAAAUGUAGUGUCCGUGGUAAGGCCCCGAUAGUCCAGACAACAACGACAACAUCAAGCACGAAGUCAACGACAAAAUUCCCCGUUCAACCGGAAACUGAAAUUGAAAGAAAACGAAGGGAAGCAAAACAAGAACCGAAAACAGCUAAAAGUUCAAGAGACAAAUCACAGGAAACGGCUGAAAACAAAAAUAUAACCUGUGAAGACUAUACAUGUGCAAUAAUUGAAUGUGAAGUACUAAAUCUCGAACACAAUAAACAAGAGACCAUUGAUAUCACAGUAGAUGUUUAUGAAAAGGAACUGGCAAAGGAAAAGGAAAGUACGUGAAAUACGCUACGAAACGAUUGCUACAGUUACUGAUCCUUAUAUCUGGUAUGGCGGAAAGGUUGUUCCAUGGGAUAAAACCGUAUAUGCUGAGAAAUGGACAACAUUUGUCGUUGAGCCCACGUCUGUUGUGUCCGAAGUGAAUAUAUGGAUAAUCAUUGGAAGCGUCCUAGGUGCACUUGCACUACUGAUCAUUGUCAUAGUAAUCCUAUGGAAGUGUGGAUUCUUUGCACGUAAGAAGCACAACCAGGUAGAGCAAUGGAAAAGAGCCAGUCCGUACAACCGCUAAAGCGCCAGGAUGUCGUCACAUGAAAAACAACCUUACACUUCUAUGGAAGAAAAAGAAUUAAAUCAAUAAACUGUUUUUUCUUUCAAACUAAUAUUCAUUUUGUUUUAGGCAACUUUAUUUACCUUCCGCAGUUUUGAUAAUCUAAAUGUGUUAGUGUUUUGUAAGUGUACUCGCUAUCUUAGGAGUAAAUAUACUAUAGCAUAACAGUGGCAGAUGUAACUGCUGUAAAACUGGUGUGCUUAGCAGUAAAACUGUUGUAAAAGCAGAAUGUAGUCAGCAGUAAUACAGUAGGCAGCAAAAACAAUGAUAUUCUUGUUAGAGCAGUAAUAAUAUUUAAGUAGUGCUUCAGCAGCACUAGCUGAUGCAUGUGUUUUUUUGUUUUUUUUGUUUUUUUUUUGCCACAAGGUGAAUACUGUCGAUACUGCAAUCAUUAGUUGCUGCAAUAAAGCCAAUAUGUAAAGCUUUGAUAUGUAAGCCCUAGAUGUGUUACAAACCUUACAUUGGUCUUUCUUGCGUUUGCUUAAAAUUUCAUUAUAGACUUGCACUGUUGUAUAUUAAUAUAAAGGUUUCACUAUGCAUGAAAUUCUAUAUUUAUCUUGAAUGAUAGAAAUGCGCGCAUAUGAGAAUACAUAAUACUGCAUGAUCGAACUUAUAGAAUAUAUAGAAUAAUGUAAAAAGUAUCAAAAAUGUCUACAAUCAUAAUUUGUUAAGGAUUUUGAAAACAUAUUUUAUAGUCGAUGCUUCUUAAAACAAGAAGAGUUAUAUUCAGACAAUACUUCUGACAUCUGUAUUUUUCAUAAUUAUAAAGCUAGGAAUAUGUUCUUUAACCUGUCAGUGUCAACCUCUAAAGAUGCCGAUAAAUUCAGGAAGAGCAUGCUAAUCUGUAGAAGAAAAUAUCCGUCUACUUGUUUACUAUAUCAUUUGGCAAUAUGAGCGAAUGUUUUCAGCAUAUAAAUACUAUGAUUCUUGUUAAACAAUAACUAGCGGGUGCGAGUGGUGUUACACAUUUCAUAACCUCUCAUGAACAGACUCCGUAAACAGUGAGUCUGUUUUCAUGUUGCUUGGUUGCGUUCUAUGCUUCCAAAGGGUCUUUUUACAUAUUUUAUUAUUUAUCGUCAACGCUGUUGGUUUUAAAUACAUUUUGUGCUUUAAAAAAAUAAAUGUAUAUUAAGCUUGUAUGAAUUUUAAUGUAUCGUAAAUUGUGCUUUAUCAGAAAUUAUAAUAAUAAUGUAACAAUAAAUAAUUCACAUUUUUGCAAUACUGUGUAUUGAGUAAUGUUCGCGGAGGUUUUAUUUUCGCUAAUAUUCACGAAAAAUGUUGCUUGCGAUUUAUUUUAUUCUCAGUCAUUUCCUAAAUCACAAACACUCUCAUUUCGAGAACUUUUAACACAGUGAAUAAGAUUUGUAAACAUGUAAUUGCUAAAAAAUGCAUUAGCAUAAUACUAAACAAAUUAUAGUAUUACAAAAUAAAAUCUGAGAAGUAGAUCGUUCGGAAGCACCGAGAACAAGGCAAACAGUGAGAAUUACAGACUCGGUUUGACUGAGUCUGUUCCUGUGCAGUAAUAGAAAAAGCACCAAUGUCCACGCCCCGCCACCCCCAGCCCCCAUCCCACCUCUAGCAACGGCUUUUUAUUAAGCAGUAUUCAAUUUUCAUAACUCUUAAUUAAACAAGGCAAUAAAACUAAAAUUGUAUUUGAAUGUGGUCGCUUUGUUAUUGUUAAUGGCAUAAAUAUCGUAAUGAAACAGUUAACAAUAAAAUUCAUCCAACAAUAUCUGUUUGUCCCCCGAGCCUGUAAUUAGAAAGUGUAAUCAUUCAGACUGAGUUGAGAUAUACCUUUUUACUUGACCUUUCUCCACAAAACAGCAAAUUGAUAUAUCUUUUUAUUUUCGAAACAGAUAGAAAGAAGCUCUUGUGCAUUUUGUUUAAAAUCUGAUCAAUUAUGGCUAUUCCUAUUUAAUAAAUGAACGAUACAAAAGCGUGGCAUUAACGUACGUCAUAAACCUCAGAGUUGCUUGCCUCAUGAUCAAACUUCUUUUCAAAUUUGCAAAGUGUCAUAUUUUUUCAAUUAUUAUGGUCUGAUUUAAAAAAAGCUUCAGCGUUAUAAUUAUCAUGCUUUUGGACUUGAUUAAAAACAUGGGAAUAAAACUUGUAGGCGGUACGAUAGCCUCUAAGUACAAAAUCGAAACACUGUUCCUAAGCCCCAGGUUCGAAUUCCGGUAUUGCAGCGCAUUUGUAUCACGCAAUGUCAUAAUAAUUAAAAUUUGACUUUUGAAUGAUUUUUUUUUGUUUUAAAUCAUUCCAUUAAAGAGACAAUGCAAAUGCAGCCCCAUGUAUAUUUUGAAUGCAUGUACAUGGACAAUUUCUAGAUACACUUUGAUACGUUUAUGAAUAUUUGACUAAUAGCAGUUUUUAUUAGAACUUACUUUGCUUCACAUAUGAAAUUUCUUACGGCAUCACAAUUUCGGUCGUUCCACAGUGCAUUGUGUCCAUUGAAUAUAAUUUCUAGGCAAUGUUCAACACUUCCUGAAAAACGUAGUAGUAUACAGUUCUCUGGUUAUCUCAUUCUAUUCAGAUGUUAUUGAUUUUGCAAAAUAUAACAAAAUUAAAACCUGACUUAUA
rnacentral:misc_RNA from 1 species